rnacentral:lncRNA from 1 species
CAAAAUUUUGUUCGUCCUUUCCUGCCCACCUAAAAAUAUGCUAGACCGAUCGUUGUUAGAACCGACGAACAAAAGUUAAAUUUAAUUUACUGUUACCUGGUUUACUCGAGGAAUAGUGGUUGUAAGAGGUCGAUCCACAGGGAGGCGAUUGGAGUUGCUUAAAAAUAAAAACGUUCACUCGGAUUCAAAAGCGAUUUUUGAAUAAUAGAAGAAAAACAUUAUAUCGGGGAUGAUGAUGGAAUCUCUAGUCUACCGGAGAAUGAUUUUUAAUUGAAAUUAACUAGACGACAUGUACUCAGAUUCAAAAAACAUUUUUAAUGAAAAAUAAAGCUCGGCAUAAAAUUAAAAUGGAUGAAACUAAGAGGAUUGAAGCAAACAUAAAUUUCAUAAAAGAAGAUUUAAUGUAUUGCAUAAAAGAAAUUAAAAUUUCAGCAUAAAUAAAAUCUUAAAAGUAAAACACUCCACCAAAAUAAAAUUCUCUAAAGUUAAAACUUAAAACAUUGUUCUCAAUUAAAACUCAAACUCAAAACACAUUGCUCUUAAUUAAAAUAACAAUAAACAUAAAACAUUGCCCUUAAAAAUAAAACUAAACAUGAAAAGAAAAAUAAAAAGAAUAAAAAAAAAAACAAAACAAAGCACUGGCUCUGUUUGAAAACAGAGCAUCAACACUUCUUCUUCCUCCAACCGAGCCGAGCACCCCCUAUUCCUCCUCUGUUUCUUUGGCUCAACACCCCGCCGAGAGCUCCCUCCUCCCUUCUUCUUCUUUGGACUCCGCCGGCUCCUCCCACUC